rnacentral:rRNA from 1 species
CUCCGGUGAUCCCGCCGGACCUGACUGCUAUCGGAUUGGUACUAAGCCAUGCGAGUCAUUGUAGCAAUACAAGGCGGACGGCUCAGUAACACGUAGUCAACCUAACUCGUGGACGUGGAUAACCUCGGGAAACUGAGAAUAAACCACGAUAGAUCAUAGUGCCUGGAAUGGCUUAUGGUCCAAACAGUUUACUGCCAUGGGAUGGGACUGCGGCCUAUCAGCUUGUUGGUGAGGUAAUGGCCCACCAAGGCGAUUACAGGUACGGGCUCUGAGAGGAGAAGCCCGGAGAUGGGUACUGAGACACGGACCCAGGCCCUAUGGGGCGCAGCAGGCGAGAAACCUUAGCAAUGUGCGAAAGCACGACUGGGUCAGUCCGAGUGAUUCCUGAUAAAGGAGUCUUUUGCUUGUCCUAAAAGCACAGGUGAAUAAGGGGUGGGCAAGUCUGGUGUCAGCCGCCGCGGUAAUACCAGCACCUCGAGUGGUCAGGACGUUUAUUGGGCCUAAAGCAUCCGUAGCCGGCUUUGCAAGUCUUCGGUUAAAUCCACCUGCUCAACAGAUGGGCUGCUGGAGAUACUACAAAGCUAGGGAGUGGGAGAGGCAGACGGUAUUCAGUGGGUAGGGGUAAAAUCCUCUGAUCCAUUGAGGACCACCAGUGGCGAAGGCGGUCUGCCAGAACACGUUCGACGGUGAGGGAUGAAAGCUGGGGGAGCAAACCGGAUUAGAUACCCGGGUAGUCCCAGCUGUAAACGAUGCAAACUCGGUGAUGCAUUGGCUUAUGGCCAAUGCAGUGCCGCAGGGAAGCCGUUAAGUUUGCCGCCUGGGAAGUACGGACGCAAGUCUGAAACUUAAAGGAAUUGGCGGGGGAGCA